rnacentral:rRNA from 1 species
CAGUAGCCGCGGGAACACGUAGGUGGCGAGCGUUAAUCGGAAUUACUGGGCGUAAAGCGUGCGCAGGCGGUUCGUUAAGACAGAUGUGAAAUCCCCGGGCUUAACCUGGGAACUGCAUUUGUGACUGGCGAGCUAGAGUAUGGCAGAGGGGGGUAGAAUUCCACGUGUAGCAGUGAAAUGCGUAGAGAUGUGGAGGAAUACCGAUGGCGAAGGCAGCCCCCUGGGCCAAUACUGACGCUCAUGCACGAAAGCGUGGGGAGCAAACAGGAUUAGAUACCCCCGUAGUCCCUGUCUCUUAUAC